AUUGAACGCUGGCGGCAUGCUUUACACAUGCAAGUCGGACGGCAGCGCGGGCUUCGGCCUGGCGGCGAGUGGCGAACGGGUGAGUAAUACAUCGGAACGUGCCCAGUAGUGGGGGAUAGCUCGGCGAAAGCCGGAUUAAUACCGCAUACGACCUGAGGGUGAAAGCGGGGGAUCUUCGGACCUCGCGCUAUUGGUGCGGCCGAUGGCAGAUUAGCUAGUUGGUGGGGUAAAGGCCUACCAAGGCGACGAUCUGUAGCUGGUCUGAGAGGACGACCAGCCACACUGGGACUGAGACACGGCCCAGACUCCUACGGGAGGCAGCAGUGGGGAAUUUUGGACAAUGGGCGAAAGCCUGAUCCAGCAAUGCCGCGUGUGUGAUGAAGGCCUUCGGGUUGUAAAGCACUUUUGGCGGGAACGAAAAGGACUGUGCAAAUACCACGGUUCGAUGACGGUACCCGCAGAAUAAGCACCGGCUAACUACGUG
rnacentral:rRNA from 1 species